rnacentral:rRNA from 1 species
ACCACUUCGGUGGGGAUUAGUGGCGAACGGGUGAGUAACACGUGGGCAAUCUGCCCUGCACUCUGGGACAAGCCCUGGAAACGGGGUCUAAUACCGGAUACUGACCCUCGCAGGCAUCUGCGAGGUUCGAAAGCUCCGGCGGUGCAGGAUGAGCCCGCGGCCUAUCAGCUUGUUGGUGAGGUAAUGGCUCACCAAGGCGACGACGGGUAGCCGGCCUGAGAGGGCGACCGGCCACACUGGGACUGAGACACGGCCCAGACUCCUACGGGAGGCAGCAGUGGGGAAUAUUGCACAAUGGGCGAAAGCCUGAUGCAGCGACGCCGCGUGAGGGAUGACGGCCUUCGGGUUGUAAACCUCUUUCAGCAGGGAAGAAGCGAAAGUGACGGUACCUGCAGAAGAAGCGCCGGCUAACUACGUGCCAGCAGCCGCGGUAAUACGUAGGGCGCAAGCGUUGUCCGGAAUUAUUGGGCGUAAAGAGCUCGUAGGCGGCUUGUCACGUCGGUUGUGAAAGCCCGGGGCUUAACCCCGGGUCUGCAGUCGAUACGGGCAGGCUAGAGUUCGGUAGGGGAGAUCGGAAUUCCUGGUGUAGCGGUGA